CACAUAUCUCAACAAGUGGAAACAAUCAGGAGCAGCAGGCGCGUGUCCCGCCGCACACACACCUGGAGCCAUUUCUUUCAGGGACAUGCGAGGUGGGGGUGGGGGUGAGUGCGGAGGAAGGUGAUCCCUCUGCACUGCACAGUAUCUUUGUCGAGCGUGUAGCGGUGCAUCAACAGGCACGGCAAACCGCAAGAAAGAAGCGCGGGUGUGGCGGAAGUAGGGGAGAGCAGGUAAACGAAAUCUCUAUGCAUCGAAAAGUGGUGGCCAACAUGGCAUGCACAAUGCACGUGUACACACAUACAUCUAGACACAUGGAGUCGUGUGGCUGCACAAGCCGCUCGAGAGCGGACCCUUUUCGUUUGGGGGGUUCCUGUUGUUCGUCGUGUUUCUACUAUCGGUGUGCGUGUGUGCUUCGGUAGCAAUAUCCGGCAAGCAUUGGCUCUCGCCCCCCCCCCUUCUCGUCACCCGUUUCCUUUUUCUCGUUUCGUGGGGCUUGACCUUUGUUUUUUUUUUAUUGGUCGUCACUCUUGGCAUUUUGAUUUUUGUCGCUGCGCUCUGCUGUGUUUACUUUUUCUAUCUUGGCCGGGUGUGUGUUGUGAAGCUCGUCUUCGAGUAGGCAAUGCACUGAAGCUUCUCUCUUUGCUGAGACACGCCUUACUGUCUGCCGGCACGGCAGCGAUGAAGAGCGUGAGCGGGCAAGCAGGAGCGACGUGGCUUAGCGGCCCAUUUUCCCAUUCCCAUUUUCCUAAAUGAGGAUGAGUCCGAAGUUUUGCGCUGAGUGGCGCUGAUGCACAGUUGAUGGCGCCUUCGUCAUGCACUUCUCUGAGCUGCUUUCCGCGCUGUUGUUUUUAUUGUCUUUGUUUCACUAUCAACCUGCUCGCGUGCGAACGCGGCGUUGCCUCUCUGCCCUUCUCUCCUCUCCGUCUUCACGUGCACCCCUUCGCCUCUGCGCGAUUUUUGUUCCUCCUUCCAUCGGGCGUACCGUUUUUCUCUUUUGAUUUUUUUUUUGGCUUUCCUCUUCUCCCUCCCUCUUUUGGGAUAUACUCAUCUCGGUAUAUGCACACAUAUAUACAUCUAUAUAUACGUAUUGUUCACGAGGAAACCGCAGCAGCAAAGAGGCACCUUCACCACACGCAUACAUACAUGCUUAGCCUCUUCGUCCUCCUCUCCGCUCACCUCUCCCCGUAUUCGUAUGUAUGCGCACCUGUUUUUUCGCAUACGUGUUCUCCACUGCUUCGUAUGGCUCGCCUUCCUGCGGCUGUUUUUUUUUUCUUUUGUGCAUUAUGUCAAUAUAAUGUUGCAUGCAUUGACCUGAUUCGGCUCAUUUCACUCGUGCCGCACUGGCUGCCCCCACUGUGCCCCUUUUUAGAGCGACAUGCCGUGAGCUCUUUGCGCGCUGGCACAUGUCCAUCCACGGCCCCCUUCCGCCCGAUACACCCAAUCCUGUCAGGGGCGUUCGAACUCAGGCGGAUGCGGAAUAGCCUCGCUGCCCGCCGAUCGCGCAGCACGUACCCGAAGAAGAAGCGAGGAAGUGCAGAACGCACCUGUUAGGCGCAUGGCCCGAUUCGGCGGCAGACGGCUCGCCCCAGACAACCAGGAUGUAGUCGUGGUGCUGCAGAGGUAGGUGAAUUGUGGUUGUGUGUGAUGCGGGUGUACGUGUGUUGACUUGUUCGUGGUGGAGCGACACAGUGAGAAUACAAGAAAUUGCUAAAAGAUUCAAGACGUCGGGGAGCCGAGGGUAAACUCUCUCUCGUCCACUAGUGCGCAAUCCUUCCCCUGUGGAUUUCAAACUGCACGUCCACGGAGCGCAGCAACGGAG
rnacentral:misc_RNA from 1 species